AUACUUACCUGGCAGGGGAGGUACCGUGAUCACAAAAGUGAUUUUCCGAGGCUUAUUCAUUGCACUCAGGAUGUGCUGACCCCUGCAAUUUCCCCAAAUGUGGAAAAGUCGACUGUGUAAUUUGUGUUAGUAGGGAACUGAAUUCGUGCUCUUCCCUA
rnacentral:snRNA from 1 species